rnacentral:rRNA from 1 species
AGCGAACGCUGGCGGCAGGCUUAACACAUGCAAGUCGAGCGGGCGUAGCAAUACGUCAGCGGCAGACGGGUGAGUAACGCGUGGGAACGUACCUUUUGGUUCGGAACAACUGAGGGAAACUUCAGCUAAUACCGGAUAAGCCCUAACGGGGAAAGAUUUAUCGCCGAAAGAUCGGCCCGCGUCUGAUUAGCUAGUUGGUGAGGUAACGGCUCACCAAGGCGACGAUCAGUAGCUGGUCUGAGAGGAUGAUCAGCCACACUGGGACUGAGACACGGCCCAGACUCCUACGGGAGGCAGCAGUGGGGAAUAUUGGACAAUGGGGGCAACCCUGAUCCAGCCAUGCCGCGUGAGUGAUGAAGGCCCUAGGGUUGUAAAGCUCUUUUGUGCGGGAAGAUAAUGACGGUACCGCAAGAAUAAGCCCCGGCUAACUUCGUGCCAGCAGCCGCGGUAAUACGAAGGGGGCUAGCGUUGCUCGGAAUCACUGGGCGUAAAGGGUGCGUAGGCGGGUCUUUAAGUCAGAGGUGAAAUCCUGGAGCUCAACUCCAGAACUGCCUUUGAUACUGAGGAUCUUGAGUCCGGAAGAGGUGAGUGGAACUGCGAGUGUAGAGGUGAAAUUCGUAGAUAUUCGCAAGAACACCAGUGGCGAAGGCGGCUCACUGGU